rnacentral:rRNA from 1 species
UCGAACGGAGAUAAUUGAGUUUACUUGAUUAUCUUAGUGGCGGACGGGUGAGUAACACGUGAGCAACCUGCCUCUGAGAGAGGGAUAGCUUCUGGAAACGGAUGGUAAUACCUCAUAACAUAGCGGAACCGCAUGAUUCUGCUAUCAAAGAUUUAUUACUCAGAGAUGGGCUCGCGUCUGAUUAGCUAGUUGGUGAGGUAACGGCUCACCAAGGCGACGAUCAGUAGCCGGACUGAGAGGUUGAACGGCCACAUUGGGACUGAGACACGGCCCAGACUCCUACGGGAGGCAGCAGUGAGGGAUAUUGCACAAUGGAGGAAACUCUGAUGCAGCGAUGCCGCGUGGAGGAAGAAGGUUUUCGGAUUGUAAACUCCUGUUUCGAGGGACGAUAAUGACGGUACCUCGGGAGGAAGCUCCGGCUAACUACGUGCCAGCAGCCGCGGUAAUACGUAGGGAGCGAGCGUUGUCCGGAAUUACUGGGUGUAAAGGGAGCGCAGGCGGGAUUGCAAGUCAGGUGUGAAAUGCAGGGGCUCAACCCCUGAGCUGCACUUGAAACUGUAGUUCUUGAGUGAAGUAGAGGUAAGCGGAAUUCCUAGUGUAGCGGUGAAAUGCGUAGAUAUUAGGAGGAACGUCGGUGGCGAAGGCGGCUUACUGGGCUUUUACUGACGCUGAGGCUCGAAAGCGUGGGGAGCAAACAGGAUUAGAUACCCUGGUAGUCCACGCUGUAAACGAUGAUGACUAGGUGUGGGGGGACUGACCCCUUCCGUGCCGCAGUUAACACAAUAAGUCAUCCACCUGGGGAGUACGGCCGCAAGGUUGCAACUCAAAUGAAUUGACGGA